AUGAACGCUGGCGGCAUGCCUUACACAUGCAAGUCGAGCGGCAGCGCGGGGGCAACCCUGGCGGCGAGCGGCGCACGGGUGAGUAAUGCAUCGGAACGUGUCCUCUUGUGGGGGAUAACCAGUCGAAAGACUGGCUAAUACCGCAUGAGCACGAGAGUGGAAAGCGGGGGACCGUAAGGCCUCGCGCGAGAGGAGCGGCCGAUGCCGGAUUAGCUAGUUGGCGGGGUAAAAGCCCACCAAGGCGACGAUCCGUAGCUGGUCUGAGAGGACGACCAGCCACACUGGGACUGAGACACGGCCCAGACUCCUACGGGAGGCAGCAGUGGGGAAUUUUGGACAAUGGGGGCAACCCUGAUCCAGCCAUGCCGCGUGUGUGAAGAAGGCCUUCGGGUUGUAAAGCACUUUCGGACGGAACGAAAUCGCACGAUCUAACAAGUCGUGUGGAUGACGGUACCGUAAGAAGAAGCACCGGCUAACUACGUGCCAGCAGCCGCGGUAAUACGUAGGGUGCGAGCGUUAAUCGGAAUUACUGGGCGUAAAGUGUGCGCAGGCGGCCAUGCAAGUCGAGUGUGAAAGCCCCGGGCUUAACUU
rnacentral:rRNA from 1 species